UACGAAGGGGGCGAGCGUUGUUCGGAAUUACUGGGCGUAAAGGGCGCGUAGGCGGCCUGGCAAGUCAAAGGUGAAAUCCCUCGGCCCAACCGAGGAACUGCCUUUGAAACUGCAAGGCUUGAGGCCGGGAGAGGGUAGCGGAAUUCCCAGUGUAGCGGUGAAAUGCGUAGAUAUUGGGAGGAACACCAGUGGCGAAGGCGGCUACCUGGACCGGUUCUGACGCUGAGGCGCGAAAGCGUGGGGAGCAAACAGG
rnacentral:rRNA from 1 species